CACUUUAUUUGAUUUCCUUCGGGACUGAUUAUUUUGUGACUGAGUGGCGGACGGGUGAGUAACGCGUGGGUAACCUGCCUUGUACAGGGGGAUAACAGUUGGAAACGGCUGCUAAUACCGCAUAAGACCACGGAGCCGCAUGGCUCCGUGGGAAAAACUCCGGUGGUAUGAGAUGGACCCGCGUCUGAUUAGGUAGUUGGUGGGGUAACGGCCCACCAAGGCGACGAUCAGUAGCCGGUCUGAGAGGAUGAACGGCCACACUGGAACUGAGACACGGUCCAGACUCC
rnacentral:rRNA from 1 species